UGAGUAACCUGCCCUUAACUCUGGGAUAAGCCUGGGAAACUGGGUCUAAUACCGGAUAUGACUCCUCAUCGCAUGGUGGGGGGUGGAAAGCUUUAUUGUGGUUUUGGAUGGACUCGCGGCCUAUCAGCUUGUUGGUGAGGUAAUGGCUCACCAAGGCGACGACGGGUAGCCGGCCUGAGGAGGGUGACCCGGCCACACUGGGACUGAGACACCGGCCCAGACCUCCGUACGGGGAGGCAG
rnacentral:rRNA from 1 species